UACAGAGGGUGCAAGCGUUAAUCGGAAUUACUGGGCGUAAAGCGCGCGUAGGUGGUUUGUUAAGUUUGAAUGUGAAAUCCCCGGGCUCAACCUGGGAACUGCAUCCAAAAUGGCAAGCUAGAGUAGGGCAGAGGGUGGUGGAAUUUCCUGUGUAGCGGUGAAAUGCGUAGAUAUAGGAAGGAACACCAGUGGCGAAGGCGACCACCU
rnacentral:rRNA from 1 species